GGGCCUAUAGUAAAAUGGCAUUACGCGCCCAUGGCAUGGGCGAGGUGGGAGUCCGAUUCUCCCUAGGUCCA
rnacentral:tRNA from 1 species